AAUCAACGCUGGCGGCGUGCCUCAGACAUGCAAGUCGAACGCGAAAGUCCCCUUCGGGGGAGUAAGUAGAGUGGCGCACGGGUGAGUAACACGUAGGUAAUCUACCUUCGGGUGGGGAAUAACCCAGGGAAACUUGGGCUAACACCGCAUAAUGCAGCGGCACCACAUGGUGACAGUUGUUAAAGCGGGGGAUUUUCGGACCUCGCGCCUGGAGAGGAGCCUGCGGCAGAUUAGCUAGNGGUUAAGGUAACGGCUUACCAAGGCGACGAUCUGUAACCGGCCUGAGAGGGGCGGUCGGUCACACUGACACUGACAUACGGGUCAGACUCCUACGGGAGGCAGCAGUCGGGAAUUUUGGGCAAUGGGCGAAAGCCUGACCCAGCAACG
rnacentral:rRNA from 1 species